GUUAUAGUAAAUUAGGGCUAUAUGUCUUGAGAGUAAAGUUUUUUUUUUUUAUCUUUAACACUUACCAAUUGCCAGAUGCAGGCGAUGGCCAAAGCACUGCACUCUGAACCAGUUGUUGACCUCAGCAGCCUUCACCACGUUCGCUCCCUUAUCUGUUGUGGCUGUGGAGGUUUGUCGUGUUUCCUCUCGACGUAGCCACUAUUUUUUGGCAUGACUUGCAAAGAACUUGCGUCUGUGAUUCGUCCUGUGUGGAAAAACCGAAGUAGUCCCAAAUUCCGGAGGUGUAGUGUCUUUUAGGAACAAGUUGCUCUCUGUUUUCGUCUCCUUUCAUCUCUUCCUUCCCCGCCAUGCUUGUCUUCCUUCUGUGUGUGUACGUGCUCACUGCUCCGCUGAGAGCAUGUGCUCGCUCUGACCAAUAGCGACGCGGCACGUUCACAUUUAAGGUCGCGCCGGAUUGGUCAAAGUGCGGACAUAAAGAAAGACCUGAUUUAUACAUUAAAUAAU